GGCUUGUUAGCUCAAUUGGUAGAGCGCUGCACUAAUAUCGCAGAGGUCAGUGGUUCGAGUCCCGUACAGGCCU
rnacentral:tRNA from 1 species